AGUGAACGCUGGCGGUAGGCCUAACACAUGCAAGUCGAACGGCAGCACAGUAAGAGCUUGCUCUUACGGGUGGCGAGUGGCGGACGGGUGAGGAAUACAUCGGAAUCUACUUUUUCGUGGGGGAUAACGUAGGGAAACUUACGCUAAUACCGCAUACGACCUACGGGUGAAAGCAGGGGAUCUUCGGACCUUGCGCGAUUGAAUGAGCCGAUGUCGGAUUAGCUAGUUGGCGGGGUAAAGGCCCACCAAGGCGACGAUCCGUAGCUGGUCUGAGAGGAUGAUCAGCCGCACUGGAACUGAGACACGGUCCAGACUCCUACGGGAGGCAGCAGUGGGGAAUAUUGGACAAUGGGCGCAAGCCUGAUCCAGCCAUACCGCGUGGGUGAAGAAGGCCUUCGGGUUGUAAAGCCCUUUUGUUGGGAAAGAAAAGCAGCAGGUUAAUACCCCGCCGUUCUGACGGUACCCAAAGAAUAAGCACCGGCUAACUUCGUG
rnacentral:rRNA from 1 species